rnacentral:rRNA from 1 species
UACGAAGGGAGCUAGCGUUGUUCGGAAUCACUGGGCGUAAAGCGCACGUAGGCGGAUGUGUCAGUCAGGGGUGAAAUCCCGGAGCUCAACUUCGGAACUGCCUCUGAUACAGCACGUCUUGAGUCCGGAAGAGGUGGGUGGAAUUCCUAGUGUAGAGGUGAAAUUCGUAGAUAUUAGGAAGAACACCGGUGGCGAAGGCGGCCCACUGGUCCGGUACUGACGCUGAGGCGCGAAAGCCAGGGGAGCAAACGGG